rnacentral:rRNA from 1 species
AUUGAACGCUAGCGGGAUGCUUUACACAUGCAAGUCGAACGAGUGGCGGACGGGUGAGUAAUAUAUCGGAACGUGCCCAGUAGCGGGGGAUAACUACUCGAACGAGUGGCUAAUACCGCAUACUAUAGGAGCGGCCGUUAUCGGAAUAGCGAGUUGGGGGGGUAAAGGCCGACCAAGGCAACGAUCCGUAGCUGGUUUGAGAGGACGACCAGCCACACUGGGACUGAGACACGGCCCAGACUCCUACGGGAGGCAGCAGUGGGGAAUGUUGGACAAUGGGGGAAACCCUGUUCCAGCCAUCCCGCGUGUAUGAGAAGGCCUUCGGGUUGUAAAGUACUUUUGGCAGAGAAGCGGUAUCUGCAGAAUAAGCACCGGCUAACUACGUGCCAGCAGCCGCGGUAAUAC